rnacentral:rRNA from 1 species
GAUGAACGCUAGCUACAGGCUUAACACAUGCAAGUCGAGGGGAAACGAUAGAGAAAGCUUGCUUUUUCUAGGCGUCGACCGGCGCACGGGUGAGUAACGCGUAUCCAACCUGCCCACCACUUGGGGAUAACCUUGCGAAAGUAAGACUAAUACCCAAUGACGUCUCUAGAAGGCAUCUGAAAGGGAUUAAAGAUUUAUCGGUGAUGGAUGGGGAUGCGUCUGAUUAGCUUGUUGGCGGGGUAACGGCCCACCAAGGCUACGAUCAGUAGGGGUUCUGAGAGGAAGGUCCCCCACAUUGGAACUGAGACACGGUCCAAACUCCUACGGGAGGCAGCAGUGAGGAAUAUUGGUCAAUGGGCGAGAGCCUGAACCAGCCAAGUAGCGUGCAGGAAGACGGGCCCCUAUGGGUUGUAAACUGCUUUUAUAAGGGAAUAAAGUUAGUCUCGUGAGACUUUUUGCAUGUACCUUAUGAAUAAGGACCGGCUAAUUCCGUG